rnacentral:lncRNA from 1 species
GUAGACACUUGUAGAAUUCUCUAGAAGAUAUGAUAAGAGUCUAUAAAUAGAGCAUGAUCCCUCAUUUGUUAGUAAGAAAAAAGAAGCUAGACAAAGUUCAAGCUAUUGUAAGCUAUCAUCAUUCUAAUAAAAUUCCUUUCUCCUACCCACUUUGUCCACCAAAUUACUUUCUACCAAAAUCUUCCAAAUUAUUAACUUUCAAUAAAAAGCCAACUAUUUUUUAACCCCAAAAUUAUUCUAUACAAAACAUCCUCAAUCAUCAUAUCUCAUCACUACAACAACACAAAAACUAUCAGUGGUAUCAGAGCCACGUUUGAUUGAUAUUGGGCGUACACAUAUAUGAUGGCAGACGCUUUCCGCUCAUCAAUUCCUAUCCCAACAUUUAAUGGGGAUAACUAUGAUUUUUGGUCUAUCAAAAUGAAGACCUACUUUUGUGCUCAAAAUUUAUGGGAUGUCGUCAACGAUAGAUAUACUAACCCAGAUGACAUUUCCACUUUAACUUCCGCACAAAAGAAGGAACUUAAGGAGAAUCAACAAAAAGAUUCUCUAGCAUUACUUUCUCUACAAAUGAGCUUGACGGAUACAUAUUUUCCAAGAAUUAUGGGAGCCAAAACAGGGAAAGAAGCAUGGGAUAAGUUGAAGGAGGAGUUCUACGGCAGUAUCAAGGUACGUACUUGCCGCCUUCAAACUUUAAGAAGGAAUUUUGAAAAUCUAAAAAUGAAAGAGUCGGAAAUCGCAAAAGAUUAUUAUUCAAGAAUAGAUGAAAUAGUAAAUCAACUAAGGUCUUAUGGUGAUGAUGUUCCCGAAAAGAAGGUCGUUGGAAAAAUUUUAAUUACUUGCACAGAAAAAUAUGAUCCAAUUAUUGCAGCUAUUGAGGAAUCCAAGGAUAUAGAUGAAUUAACAACUGCAGAAUUAAUGGGAUCAUUAGAAGCUCAUGAAAAAAGAUUAGAAAGGCGCUAUGAAAUGGAGAUAGAAAACGCUUUUCAAUCAAAACUUAAUAUGCGAUUUCAAAAAUCUAAAGAAGGUGGGAGAAAAUUUAAAGAGAAUUCGAAAAAUAAAGAAAUUCAAGAAAAAGAAGUUGAUAAAAGCGACAAGUAUUCUUCAUGUAGUAUUUGUAAAAGAAAAGGUCAUCAGGAGAAAGAUUGUUGGUUUAAAGGUAAACCACAGUGUCGUAAUUGUAGAAAAUUUGGACUUGAAGAGAAAUUUUGUCGCCUUAAACAAAAUCAUCAAGCUAAUUUCUCUGAAGAAAAGGAGACAGAAGGAAAUCUAUUUUAUGCCUCCAACACAAAUGUCUCUGAAAAGAAAUUAGAUACGUGGUAUCUAGAUAGUGGUUGCAAUAAUCACAUGACGAAGGAUGAAAGUAUUUUCUGCAGUCUCGAUAAAAUAAAUACUAAAAUAAAAAUUGGCAAUUGAAAUUUUAUAGAGGCUACAGGUAAAGGUACUAUUGCCGUUGAUACAAAAAAGGGCAAGAGAUACAUUAAUGAAGUUCUCUUAGUCCCUACAAUAGAUCAAAAUCUACUAAGUGUAGGUCAGAUGAUGGAGAAAGGAUACAGUAUACAUUUUGAAGGAGAUUAUUGUACAAUUUAUGAUAAGAAAGAUAAACAUCUGGUAAUUGCAAACGUCAAAAAGCGAGAGAACAGAUGUUUUCCAAUCAAAUGGAGAUACGCAGACAAUGUGGCAAUGGCGGUGCAAGUAGAUGAGUCAUGAUUGUGGCAUAAAAGAUUUGGACAUUUCCACUUCCAUGGGUUAAAGAUUUUGAAGCAAAAGAGCAUGAUGAGAGACUUACCAGUCAUAAAAGAAAUUGAUGCAAUUUGCGAAGGAUGCUUGAGCGGGAAACAUCACCGUCAACCAUUUCCAUCUGGAAAAGCAUGGAGAGCCAAAAAGCCUUUGGAGUUGAUACAUACGGAUGUAUGUGGCCCGAUGCGUACUCCAUCACAUAACCAAAACAGGUACUUCAUUCUAUUCAUAGAUGACUAUACUAGAAUGACAUGGGUAUAUUUCUUGCAAGAAAAAUCCCAAGUAUUUGAGAUUUUCAAAAAGUUCAAAAGCUAUGUCGAAAAGCAAAGUGGUUGCAAAAUCAAAACUAUCAGAAGCGACAGAGGCAGGGAAUAUACAUCAAAUAAAUUCAACAAGUUUUGUGAAGAUGAAGGAAUGGAGCAUCAACUUACUGUUGGGUACGCGCCGGAACAAAAUGGCGUGUCAGAAAGAAAGAACAGAACAGUAAUGGAGACAGCUAGAGCUAUGCUGAUGGAGAAAGGUCUUCCAAAAACAUUUUGGGCAGAAGCAGUAAGCACUGCAGUCUAUCUACUAAAUCGAUGUCCGACAAAGGCAGUGCAA